CAGUAUUCCAUAAGUGAGUCUUAUAUUCCCCUUCUUCCUACAAAUGAAGAUAAUGAAUGCAAAAUAUCAAUCAACAACAUUUAUUUUGUUUAAUACCAACUUGGGUCUUAAAUCUAGGAAACUAGCCCUAGGUUUUACGAAAAUAUUUUUAUGUAACUUAACUUAUAGAGAACCAUAAAACUGAAAAUGAUCUGAUAUAUGUUUAUGAUAAAUUAUUAUAACACAAAAAACUUUAAAAGUUAAUAUUAUCACUAUUAUAAUAAAUUUCAAACCCAAAACAGUGGUGAAUAUUAUAUUAUCACAGUUGGUGG